GCGGGCAUGGCGGAAUUGGCAGACGCGCCAGGUUGAGGGCCUGGUUGGGGCAACUCAGUGGAGGUUCAAAUCCUCUUGCCCGCA
rnacentral:tRNA from 1 species